rnacentral:lncRNA from 1 species
GCAGCACUUCUCUCCAUGAGAACCCAGGCUUUUAAAAUUCUCCCAGCAACCCUUCUGCAAACGCAGUAUUUAGACUGAACAGAUUCCCCAGCUGCCCUACAUACAUUCCCACAACUUCUUUAUUUUUCUCAAGAUGCCCCAUCAAGGUACAUUCAUGACUCAAUGUAUUGUAAAAAUAUUCUUAACUUUUUUGUAUUUAAAAGCAACAAAAAGAACAAGCAAGGGUUUGUCAUCACUGGACAGUACAUUUUACAAUUGUUCCUAAUAAUUGCUCUGAAUGCUCUAGUCUUCAUAUUUUUCUCCUACAUAAAUAGAGGACUAUGUGGGCCAAGUUCCCAUAGCUUAGAGGUAGGUGUAUGGAAAUGAUAAAAUGCUUUAUAGACAAAAUAGCCCAAUUAGCUGAGGUUUAGUAGGGCACGGGCAAGAGUGUCUGGAAGCCUUUUGAUAUUUGAUCACUCCUAGAACCCAUCUCCAAGUUCAGAAUGGCUUUAAGUUAACAGGUAGAAGGAUCUUUGAUCCACACUUAAGAUGAUUAAAAUUGUAACUAUACAUAACAAAACAGGUGCCUCUAAACACAUGCUCUCAUUUUCUCUCUCCAAUAUAAUUGCACACAGAAAGAUGAGGUGCAAGUAUCUAUAAUGUGUCAGUGGUAACAGACCCAGGUGGCAGGUAAGUUACAAAAUGAUGACACCAAGAGGCAGGUGCUCCCUAUCUUACAUUCAGACAUAUUAGGAUCCUCUCCCCAACCAGGCUUGCUUCCUGAUCACAUGGGCCUUCUCUAAGCACAUGCACCUCAUUUCAAUUCACAUUUCUCUCCAGUCAUUAUCUUGUUCAGAUUUUCUACUUAUUCAUAUAACAUCAUUGCUUUGCAGGAACUUUGAGAUAUUUCUAGUUCAUGAAAAUUUAUAAAACAAUAACUUCAUGCUUACACAGUAUUUGCUAUUCAUUUAUUUUCUGAUACUGUUCUUAUAUUCCAUUUCCUCUAAGAAAAUGUCCUCCUACUGUCAAGCAACAAAAAUAUUCAAUGAACCAUAGAUAAUGACAGAAUAGAGAUCUAUGGAAACCUUCUUCAGUGAGUGUAUGUUAGGGCGAUCCUAGUAGAGUAAAAUUUUGUGCAGCUAUAAUUUACAAAAUAACCAUAUAAGAAAUUCCCAAAACAAAAUAUUAGCUCACAUAACAAAUGGCUAAGUACCUAAUAAUACUCUGAGUUGCCCUGUGUGAGACACAAUCAAAAUAAUUCCUUUCCCCUUCAGUCUAUGUGAUUUUCUUUUGGAGGUUUCAUUGGCAUACUAAACUAACAGAUCUAAGUAAAUACUCCUAAUGUAUCUGGCAUAAAAUUGAUCAGAACAAAAUUUUAGAGCCAUCCUUAACUCCUCUCAUUGAACAUUCAACAUCUCUGCAAACUAUCAGUUCCACCAUUAAAAUAUUUAAUCUUCCUAGUUCUGCAGAAUUCCACAGCUAGCACCCUGAUCAAAACCUGCACAAUUUCUAACCUGGAUAAUUACAAAAGCAUCUUCAUUAGUGCCUACCCCCAAACUUGCCUCCCAAUAGUUGAUUUUUCCAUAAAAGUCAUAUGAUGCAUCCAUAUCCACACUGAAAUGAAUGCAUGACAAGUAUCAACACUGUCCUAUGUAAAGAAAUGACAUGAAUUUUUUUCAAAAAAUUCUUUGUAUUUCUUGUAUCAUCUACAGAAAGGUAUGUUCAUGUAAUUUUUGGACUUUUGACUUACCUCGAUUUCACAUAUGUGGCCAUGCAUUUGUUUGGUCCGUUCCUCACGGACGGAAAAAUCCAGGUACAGAUUCUGUUCAAAUGAUAGAUUAACAAUCUCCAAAUCAUGUUUUCUAAAUGUGUGCCACUGCUUUCCUUUUCCUCUUUCCUGUUUUGCUUAUUCUACUUCUUUAUGACUAUUUUCAACUGAAGAUGCUGAAAAAAAAAUACAAAACAGAAAGAAAAGAAUUGAGGAAUACUAGAGGCAUCCAAAGAAAGAAGAGAUUAUUUGUUGACUAAGACUUUUAAAAGGUGGAGCUGUGCCUCACUACUUAUUCAUUUAAAAAGAGGGGGGUAGAAAUAUGGGCCCAUCUUUAAAAAUAUAAAGAUAAUAUGAGAUUAUGUUCUACAGGGUAGGAAAGGAUUUUAGUCUAACAAAAAUUUAAAAAUAGGAAGAAGACAAAAAAUGCUCAGUCAUAAUAGUAAUUGAGAAAGUACCAAUAAACCACCUCAUAUCAAUCUUAUACCCCACUGUUUAAGUGGUUGGUGCAGGAGGUGGGGAGGAAUAAAAUUAAAUAAAAUAGGGAGCGAACAUUGGGAUGGGACAAGUAUUGAUUUUUAUGACCACUUUGGGUUUUUUCUCUGUAUUAUGAAGUUCAAAGUGAGCCUACCAUUCAAUGUAGCAAUCAAAUAA